GUUGGUCUGUUGGUUGGUCUGUUGGUUUGCGCCAACUUUAACAUUUUGCAAUAACUUUUGCUAUAUUGAAGAUAGCAACUUCAUAUUUGGCAUGCAUGUGUAUCUCAUGAAGCUGCACAUUUUGAGUGGUGAAAGGUCAAGGUCAAGGUCAUCCUUCAAGGUCAGAGGUCAAAUAUAUGUGGCCCAAAUCGCUUAUUUUAUGGAUACUUUUGCAAUAUUGAAGAUAGCAACUUGAUAUUUGGCAUGCAUGUGUAUCUCAUGGAGCUGCACAUUUUGAGUGGUGAAAGGUCAAGGUCAUCCUUCAAGGUCAAAUAUAUGGGUCAAAAUUGCUCAUGUAAUGUCACUUCUGCAAUAUUGAAGCUAGCAAUUUUAUAUUUGAAAUGCGUGUGUAUU